UACGUAGGGGGCGAGCGUUGUCCGGAAUCAUUGGGCGUAAAGAGCUCGUAGGCGGUUUGUCGCGUCUGCCGUGAAAGUCCGGGGCUCAACUCCGGAUCUGCGGUGGGUACGGGCAGACUAGAGUGAUGUAGGGGAGACUGGAAUUCCUGGUGUAGCGGUGAAAUGCGCAGAUAUCAGGAGGAACACCGAUGGCGAAGGCAGGUCUCUGGGCAUUAACUGACGCUGAGGAGCGAAAGCAUGGGGAGCGAACCGG
rnacentral:rRNA from 1 species